rnacentral:tRNA from 1 species
GGGGGCAGGGUCUAGAUCGGUGGUAGAGCUUGUGCUUUGCAUGCACGAGGUCCUGGGUUCAAUCCCCAGUACCUCCA